GAUGAACGCUGGCGGCGUGCCUAAUACAUGCAAGUCGAGCGAACGGACGAGAAGCUUGCUUCUCUGAUGUUAGCGGCGGACGGGUGAGUAACACGUGGAUAACCUACCUAUAAGACUGGGAUAACUUCGGGAAACCGGAGCUAAUACCGGAUAAUAUUUUGAACCGCAUGGUUCAAAAGUGAAAGACGGUCUUGCUGCCACUUAUAGAUGGAUCCGCGCUGCAUUAGCUAGUUGGUAAGGUAACGGCUUACCAAGGCAACGAUGCAUAGCAGACCUGAGAGGGUGAUCGGCCACACUGGAACUGAGACACGGUCCAGACUCCUACGGGAGGCAGCAGUAGGGAAUCUUCCGCAAUGGGCGAAAGCCUGACGGAGCAACGCCGCGUGAGUGAUGAAGGUCUUCGGAUCGUAAAACUCUGUUAUUAGGGAAGAACAUAUGUGUAAGUAACUGUGCACAUCUUGACGGUACCUAAUCAGAAAGCCACGGCUAACUACGUG
rnacentral:rRNA from 1 species